GACGAACGCUGGCGGCGUGCUUAACACAUGCAAGUCGAACGGAAAGGCCCUGCUUUUGUGGGGUGCUCGAGUGGCGAACGGGUGAGUAACACGUGAGUAACCUGCCCUUGACUUUGGGAUAACUUCAGGAAACUGGGGCUAAUACCGGAUAGGAGCUCCUGCUGCAUGGUGGGGGUUGGAAAGUUUCGGCGGUUGGGGAUGGACUCGCGGCUUAUCAGCUUGUUGGUGGGGUAGUGGCUUACCAAGGCUUUGACGGGUAGCCGGCCUGAGAGGGUGACCGGCCACAUUGGGACUGAGAUACGGCCCAGACUCCUACGGGAGGCAGCAGUGGGGAAUAUUGCACAAUGGGCGGAGGCCUGAUGCAGCAACGCCGCGUGCGGGAUGACGGCCUUCGGGUUGUAAACCGCUUUCGCCUGUGACGAAGCGUGAGUGACGGUAAUGGGUAAAGAAGCACCGGCUAACUACGUGCCAGCAGCCGCGGUGAUACGUAGGGUGCGAGCGUUGUCCGGAUUUAUUGGGCGUAAAGGGCUCGUAGGUGGUUGAUCGCGUCGGAAGUGUAAUCUUGGGGCUUAACCCUGAGCGUGCUUUCGAUACGGGUUGACUUGAGGAAGGUAGGGGAGAAUGGAAUUCCUGGUGGAGCGGUGGAAUGCGCAGAUAUCAGGAGGAACACCAGUGGCGAAGGCGGUUCUCUGGGCCUUUCCUGACGCUGAGGAGCGAAAGCGUGGGGAGCGAACAGGCUUAGAUACCCUGGUAGUCCACGCUGUAAACGGUGGGUACUAGGUGUGGGGUCCAUUCCACGGGUUCCGUGCCGUAGCUAACGCUUUAAGUACCCCGCCUGGGGAGUACGGCCGCAAGGCUAAAACUCAAAGGAAUUGACGGGGCCCCGCACAAGCGGCGGAGCAUGCGGAUUAAUUCGAUGCAACGCGUAGAACCUUACCUGGGUUUGACAUGGAUCGGGAGCGCUCAGAGAUGGGUGUGCCUCUUUUGGGGUCGGUUCACAGGUGGUGCAUGGCUGUCGUCAGCUCGUGUCGUGAGAUGUUGGGUUAAGUCCCGCAACGAGCGCAACCCUUGUUCACUGUUGCCAGCACGUUAUGGUGGGGACUCAGUGGAGACCGCCGGGGUCAUCUCGGAGGAAGGUGGGGAUGACGUCAAGUCAUCAUGCCCCUUAUGUCCAGGGCUUCACGCAUGCUACAAUGGCUGGUACAGAGAGUGGCGAGCCUGUGAGGGUGAGCGAAUCUCGGAAAGCCGGUCUCAGUUCGGAUUGGGGUCUGCAACUCGACCUCAUGAAGUCGGAGUCGCUAGUAAUCGCAGAUCAGCAACGCUGCGGUGAAUACGUUCCCGGG
rnacentral:rRNA from 1 species